CCAGGAGCUGACCUACUUCACCAAGAAGGAGAUAUUAUAGAUGGAGAUUGCACAUUUGAAGAUUUUCUGGAUAUGAUGUCAGUGUUCAGCGAAGCAGCCCCAAAGUCAGUGAAAGCAGAAUAUGCCUUCAGGAUUUUUGAUUUUGAUGGGGAUGAUUAUUUGGGACGAGGUGAUCUUCAGGAGACAAUUACCAAGCUGGUGAGCCCACAACGCUUCUCCCCGGCUGACAUGGAG